UACCUGGUUGAUUCUGCCAGUAGUCAUAUGCUUGUCUCAAAGAUUAAGCCAUGCAUGUCUAAGUUUAAGCAAUUGAACGGUGAAACUGCGAAUGGCUCAUUAAAUCAGUUAUCGUUUAUUUGAUAGUACCUUGCUACAUGGAUACCUGUGGUAAUUCUAGAGCUAAUACAUGCUGAAAACCCCGACUUCGGAAGGGGUGUAUUUAUUAGAUAAAAAACCAAUGCCCUUCGGGGCUCCUUGGUGAUUCAUAAUAACUUAACGAAUCGCAUGGCCUUGCGCCGGCGAUGGUUCAUUCAAAUUUCUGCCCUAUCAACUUUCGAUGGUAGGAUAGUGGCCUACCAUGGUGGCAACGGGUAACGGGGAAUUAGGGUUCGAUUCCGGAGAGGGAGCCUGAGAAACGGCUACCACAUCCAAGGAAGGCAGCAGGCGCGCAAAUUACCCAAUCCCGACACGGGGAGGUAGUGACAAUAAAUACUGAUACAGGGCUCUUUUGGGUCUUGUAAUCGGAAUGAGUACAAUCUAAAUCACUUAACGAGGAACAAUUGGAGGGCAAGUCUGGUGCCAGCAGCCGCGGUAAUUCCAGCUCCAAUAGCGUAUAUUAAAGUUGUUGCAGUUAAAAAGCUCGUAGUUGAACCUUGGGUCUGGCUGGCCGGUCCGCCUCACCGCGAGUACUGGUCCGGCUGGACCUUUCCUUCUGGGGAACCCCAUGGCCUUCACUGGCCGUGGCGGGGAACCAGGACUUUUACUGUGAAAAAAUUAGAAUGUUCAUAGCAGGCCUUUGCUCGAAUACAUUAGCAUGGAAUAAUAGAAUAGGACGUGUGGUUCUAUUUUGUUGGUUUCUAGGACCGCCGUAAUGAUUAAUAGGGAUAGUCGGGGGCGUCAGUAUUCAGCUGUCAGAGGUGAAAUUCUUGGAUUUGCUG
rnacentral:ncRNA from 1 species